AAUAGAUACCCGGUAGUCCACGCCGUAAACAAUGAGUGCUAAGUGUUAGGGGGUUUCCGCCCCUUAGUGCUGCAGCUAACGCAUUAAGCACUCCGCCUGGGGAGUACGGUCGCAAGACUGAAACUCAAAGGAAUUGACGGGGGCCCGCACAAGCGGUGGAGCAUGUGGUUUAAUUCGAAGCAACGCGAAGAACCUUACCAGGUCUUGACAUCCCGCUGACCGCUAUGGAGACAUAGCUUUCCCUUCGGGGACAGCGGUGACAGGUGGUGCAUGGUUGUCGUCAGCUCGUGUCGUGAGAUGUUGGGUUAAGUCCCGCAACGAGCGCAACCCUUGUCCUUAGUUGCCAUCAUUCAGUUGGGCACUCUAAGGAGACUGCCGGCUAAAAGUCGGAGGAAGGUGGGGAUGACGUCAAAUCAUCAUGCCCCUUAUGACCUGGGCUACACACGUGCUACAAUGGACGGUACAAACGGUUGCGAAGUCGCGAGAUGGAGCUAAUCCGAGAAAACCGUUCUCAGUUCGGAUUGCAGG
rnacentral:rRNA from 1 species